GGGGGGCGGUAAUCCCAGAAGCGCCCUGAAGAGACGAGAGCGGUGGGUCCCUGCCACAGCAGGGGAGACGGGCUGAGAAGAGCUGGAAGUGCCCUGAAGAGGCUGCGCCCCGACGAGGUGAGGCCGAGCCGCGGAGCUCCCUGUGCUUUCUGUGCCAGAGUGGAUGAGGGGGAGGGGGCAACCCUUGGGCUGCUUUUGGGGACCUACGGCCUCUCUGCAGGCCUGGGGGUGUGUCAGGCCGUGGGGAGUGACGUCCCGAGCCACGUGGGUGCUGCGCGGCUCGUAGUCCCUGUCAAGCACCGGUGACCCGCGGGUUGGGCAGCGGUUGGGCUCGCAAGUUUCCGUUCCCUCCCUUAAGGUGUCAUUCGGGGGGCAGCGGGCGACGUCCCGGGGCCUCGGCCACAGUCCUUCCUUUAAGGUGUCGUUCGCGGGGGAGGAGGCUCAGGUCUUGUCUAACCCUCCUUAGUCUGCGGGGUCCUAGUCACAGUGCCACAGGGUCUGAAACAAGCUGCAUGCAAAUAGUUAACAGUUUUCUUGUCAGAGGAACCAAGCGAGACAAGAACAGCCGUUGCAGCCCGUUGCAGCCAUGGCCCAAGCUCUCAUCCGCAUUGCGUGGAGGUCUGGCAGAGCUCCUUUAGGCCCUCUCUGGCUGCUUCUCCUAUGCAUACUUUCACCAAUUUUUCUCCCCCCCCCCCCUUUUAGCUUCACAAUAUAUGAUUUAAUCUAUUUUUUCAGUAGCUUAUCUGAGGCGCAGUUGAUUUUGCAUUAAUUCUGAGUUAGUUUUCACACUUCAUUGUGGUACAGAUCUAAUAUAUGAGUUACAAUGUGAACAAGUUCCCCAGAAUACUCUGUUUCGACCCAGCACAAGAGGCCUCCUUGUUAGCCAGUGCAUCCUGCCCUCUGGGCCUAGCAGGAGAACUUGGCAGCCUGCAUGCACCUGGGCCCCUGGAGCCAGGGUGGAGGGGUGUCCCCAGUGCCACAUCUGGCCCCUGGACCAUGGUGAGAACAGGGUACACUGUUUCUGAGCCUCGUUUUGUGAACUGGAUGCCUGUCAAGGGUCAAACAGAAAUGGAACUUGGGCUGGCAACAAAAAUUAAAAACAACUAAAAAGUCUUUCUUUAGGUGUAUAAGGAGUAAAAAGAAGGUGUGUGGUAGCAUAGGAACCCUACAGGACAAACUAGGGCAAAUAGUGAUAGGUGGGGUGGGCGGGGCAAGGCUGAGCUCUUCAGUGAGUUUUUUGCUUCUGUAUUCCUGAACAUGGAUCAGGACAGAUCUCCCAGUUGGAUGCUAGACAGGCAUAAAAGGGACACCAGCCCACCAAGUGUUUGUGCCAACUUGGUGAAGAGGCACUUGGAAAGAUUGGAUGUAUUUAAGUCAGCAGACCCACAUGAUCUUCAUCCAAGGGUGUCGAGGGAUUUGGCAGCAUCAUAGGAGAGCCCCGGCAUGCCUGUUUGAGCACUCGUGGCACUCGGGUCAGGUCCCAGAGGGCUGGAAAAGGGCCAAUGCGGUCCCUAUCUUUAAGAAGGGAAAGGAGGAUCCGGGUAACUAGACACCAGUUAGUCUCACUUCUAUUCAGAGGAAAACCUUUGAAAACAUUAAGGAUCACAUUUGUGGGAGUCCUGGAAGGUGGGGGGGAUGCUGAAGGGCAGUGAGCACAUAUUCAUAGCAGGUAGAUCCUGCCUGACUAACCUUGUUUCUUUUUAUGACCAGGUCACAAAAUGCUUAGACACAGGAAUUGAGGUAGAUGUCAUCUACUUGCAUUUUAAGAAGGCCUUCAAUAUGGUAUCUCAUUCUAAUGUCAUUAAUAAACUGAGCCGCUGUCACGUAGAUGAUUACACGAUCAGGUGCAGGACAAACAGGUCCAGGGAGGUGAUGCGACAUUGGUCAAACUGCAGUCGGAGUACUCUGUCCGGUUUUGGACGCCACACUUCAAGAGGGAUGUGGACAACCUUGUGAGGGUUCAGAGGAGGGCAAAAGCUAGUCCUUGCGCUCCUGUCCUUGGAACCAGCUUAUCGGUGAGGAGGCGCAGCAUGACAUUCGGCACCAAAAGGCCUGGAGUAGAAGGGUCCCCGACAUCUGUCGCAUCUGCAACGGGUCCCUGCGCGAGCUACUGAGAAACAAGCGUUUGGGGCCCGCAUCGGUCUCUCGGAAACAUCCGAGCCAGCCCCGGCAGCAGGUGCCUGUGCGUUCCUGCCUCGGACACGGUCAGGGAACGCAACGUGCCAGCAGUUGCCUCGGCUUCUGACCGCACGCACGUCGUUCGCUUGCAAGCAUCCAAAGCUAGCACUUCCAGCGGCUGCCGCUGUUGCUUCCCAACUACUAGGAGAGCCUUGCAAAAGCAAUGGCCUGCCCCUGGGCCAGGCUGAUACCAGUGGUUCAGACCCAGAGACUUGCUGUUGUACCUCCCGGUACCUGGAUUAGGUGUCGAGCACUUGGAACUCUGGCAGCUUCAGCACAUAUUAACCUCUCGUCCUCCUGCGGCCAACACCACGGAGCCUGUGACCCUAAUGUUUCUGUCAGCCUCUGUCUCACCCUUCCCCUGAAGGCCUCCCAUGAAAUCCCUUGUCCCAUCCCAGUCUGCAGGUUGGCUCCACCGGUAUUUCCCAGCUGCACGUGGAGAGUUGCGAGGGAGGUGGGGAAGAGAGUUUUAUGCCUGCAUACUCUUUACUUGUUUCAGCCUGAAGCUGUGUCAGGGCCUUUUUUUCCCCCUCUCUCCUCCUCUGUCUGUGCUUCUGCUGCGUAGCCACUGCCUCCUGUGUAUGUGGGAAGGUGAUGUAAGGGGGUGCACAGUUGCCCUUAAGAAGGAGCAAUUUUUCUAUGGAGUUAAGCUGAAACUGCUGUACAGAGCACCUUGCAAAGUGCCUCCGGGUCUGCAGCGGUAGAAGGUGUAUAGGGUAAGGCACAGAGGUGAGGGGAUCGCACUGUGUUGCCCUCUGUGAGCUUCCCGGGAAACACUUGGGGUGGCGGGUGGGUGUGGUUCAUGUAGGUGGCAGGGCAGUGCAACCAUUUUUCUUCCAUGCCCAUGGGGUGUGGGUGCAGGUUUCCCCCUGGUUGACAUGACACUGCCUGUGCAGGCCCAGUCACCUGAGCGUAGAGCCAGGGGGGGACUGUAUGGUAUUGUUGGGUUUGAACUACAAAGGAGCAGGGACCAGGAUGCACGGGUGCCAGAGAUGUGUUCCAGACCAGGUGAGGGGUGCGUGCAGCUCCGUGGCAGUGUCCUAGUGCAGGGCAGGGCACUGGGGGGGUCCCUGUGCUUCUGGCUAGUGCGGGAGGAGCCUGGUGCUGGGGGUGCUCUGUGCUGCUGCCCACCAGCCUGUGCUUGUGGGAUGCUUUGGUGCCCCUGACUCCCAGCCCGCAGCCUCUGCUUGUGUUGUGUUGCCCUCACUCCUGACCCGCAGCCUUGUCCCCACGGAAAAGAUCAGUCCCAAAUGCAACUCAGGUGGGUGAACAGGUGAUCCAGGGCUGGGUUUGGUGGGGGAGCGGGGGCAAUGCGUCCCCUAAGUGAACGGUGGCAUGCAGUUGUGUCCCUCACUGGUGCUGUGUGGGCUGGGGAUGUGGUCCCACUGUUCCCGAAAGCAAUGGGUUGCACCUGCCGGGCUGCAGAGGCCCCGGGGCGAGGGCAGCAGGGAGGGAGCCCGAGUCUGCAGUGGGCAGCCUGCCACUGCCCUGCACACAGGAUUGUGGGCACGGGUUCCCGCUGCCCCUCGGGAAUGUGCACAGCUGUGAGGAGCCCCCCACCCAGCCUGAGCUCACAGGAGGCAGGCAGUGGGUGGGGGGAGCUGGGCUUUGGUCUGCUGCAGCAGCCACUGUCUCCUGCCGGGCAGGGCGCCAUGGACACGGGUCCCUGGCCCCAUAGUGCUGGCAGCUGAGGGCCCCCUCUGGUAGAACUGGGGGGCCAGGAGGUUGGGGGGGGGAGUUGAGGGGCCUUUCAUUUUAAUCAGGCAUUUUGGUGUUUUUAUUUGAGAAUUAGUGGGGUUAUCAGAGAUUUUGCUCGUUUUUUGUUUUUUUUUUAAUCAGGGAAAAGCAGGAUGCCUCGUCAUUAGAGCAGCACAUGGGAGCCAGGGCCUGCAGCGUUAUCAGGCAUGGGUAUGGACACACGGUUCCCAGUGUCAGAGUCAGAGCCCGGUGGGUGGCGGGCACGCUCCGCAGCAGCACCCGGGCUCCGGCGCUGCUGCGCGCUCUGGACACGAGGGGCAGCUCUGAGCCGGCACGUGUGGGGCCGUCUGCAAGGCUGGCUCGGGGCAGAGCAGACUGGGCUGCUGUGCGCAGCCCUCGGGGCUGUCUCAGUCGUGUUGGGCGGGGGGUGUGGAAAUGUGCCCGUGAGCAGUGGUGUGGAGCUGUGUGAGCACCGGGUGGUUUUCAUGUUGCCCGUUUUGUGUGGGGGCUUGGGAAACAUCUUUUGUGGCAGUGUGAUGAUCUUUUUGGUGGGAAGUUGGUCAUUUAGUGUGGCGAUUUGGAGGUGUUUUGUGGAAAUGUGUGAAAUAUGGUGGUAUUGGGAGAAUUGUGUGAGGAGUUGGGACCUUUAUUUGGAAACUGGAAAUAUGAUUGUUUGGGGGGAAUUUGGUCAUUGUGUGUGGUGAUAUAGUGCCUUUUUUGGAAAUACUGCUAUUUUGUGUGGAAACGUGAUGGUUUGGGAACUUUGUGGAAAUGUGUGUGGAAAUCUGUUGAUUUUGUGUGUGUAAAUGGUGUGGUAAUUUUAGGGUGAUUUGGGAACUUUGUGCGACUGGUGUGUUGUGGGACCUGUGGAAAACUGUAUGGGGAUUGGUUCACUGUAUGGAAAUACGGCUGUUGUGUGAGGGAAAUGGUCUGGGGAUUUGGAAACCUUUUUUGUGGGCUCGUGUGUGGGCUUGCGGUGGUUUGCGUGUGGAAAACCAGACAUCCUUUGUGGUGAGUUGGAGGCAUUUUUGUAGAAAUGUUUGGAGAUAUUCUGUGACGUUGGGAGAGGUCUGUGGGGAUUUGGGACGUUUAUUUGGGGAGUGUGUGGAAAUGUUAAAAUGUUGUGAAAAACUGGUGAUGGUGUGUGGUACUAAAGGACCUUGUUUCUUGGAAAAUGUGAUUUUGUGUGUGUGGAAAACUGGUGAUUUAGGAACUCUGUGGAGAUGUCUGUGGAAAUGUGGUGAUUAUGCCAGUGGAAAAUGGUGUGGUAGUUUUAGGGUAAUUUGGGAACUGUUUGUGCAACUGGUGUUUGUGGGAGCUGUGGAAAUGUGUGUGCGUGGGAAUAUGGUUAUGUUUUGUGGGGGAAACGGUGUGGGGAUUUGGAAACCUUUUUUGAGGGCAUGUGGCGACUUUUGUGUGGAAAACAGUUUGUUCUGUGUGGUGAUUUGAGAACCCCCUUUUUAUCUGCAAGUGCUGAUUUGUUUGGUGGGAGGCGAGUCAUUUUGUGGUAAUUUGAUGAUGCGUUGGUGGAAAGGUUUGGGGAAACGUGGUAUUGGGAGAAUUCUGUGGGGACUGGGGAGCGUGUCUGUGGAAAUGUGCUUUUUUUGUGGAAGACGUGAUGGUGUGUGGUGAAAAAGGAUUUGUUUUGGAAAUGUGAAUUUUUUUUGCAUGGAAAACUGGUGAUUUGGCAGGUGUAUGUGGAAAUGCGAGUGGAAAUAUCUGGUGAUUUUUUUGUGUGUGGAAAAUGGUCUGGUAAUAUUAGGGUGAUUUAGGAACCGUUUUUGUGGAACUUGUGUGUUGUGGGACUUGUGGAAUAGUUUGUGGUGACUGGGUAAGUGUGGAAAUAUGCUUGUGUUGUGUGAGGGAAAUGGUGGGCAGGGGUUGGAAAAAUUUUUGUGGGCAUGUGUGUGCCUGUGUUUGGACACGUGGUGGUUUCCAUGUCAAAAACUGGCCCUGAUUUGAAAACCGUUUUUCUGGCAGUGUGGUAGGGUGUUGUUUUUUUUGGGUGGGAGGUUGGUCAUUUUGUGUGGCAAUAUGGAAGUUUUUUUGUAGAAACGUUUGGGGAAAUAUGGUGGUAUUGGGGGAGUUCUGUGGUGCUUUGGGAACUUUUUCCUGGAAAUGUUUGGAAAUGUGAUUUUCGUUGUGGAAUUUAGGACCUAGUGGUAUAUAGGACAUUUUGUUUGGAACUAUAGGGGUUUUGCGUGGAAAUAUGGUGAUUUAAUUGUUAGAAAAUGGUGUGGUAACUUUAGGGUGAUUUGGGAACUGUUUUGUGCGACCUGUGGAAAAUUGCGUGGCGAUGGGGUAAGCAUAUGGAAAUAUGGUUAUGUUGUAUGAGGGAAAAUGCAUGGUGAUUUGGAAACCUUUUUUUGUAGUAGUGUGUGUAGAAAAGUGUGAUUUUUUUUUUUUUUUUUGUGUGUGUGUGUGUGGUCAUUUGAUAAGUCUGAACGGGAAUGUGCUGGGCUGGCCCACGAGGGUCAUUUCAUCUACUGCGGUGCGGUUAACGGUGCGUGUCUUCUCACUAAUGAAAUGGUCUAACGUGGGUCUUCCCUUUCUUUCCAACUGCUCCUUGUGCACCUGUUCAUGGAAGCAGUGUCAGCGAGGAGCUGCAGCAUGAAAGAAGUGGGACUUGGAAAUAUCCAAGGCACCACGGGUAACAGUUUCAGCUGGGCAUGAUGGACGUAGAGGGUGUUUUUAAUCAGUCACGCACGUUAUGGAGAACCAGGUACUGUUCAGUCUUUUGACAGACAAGCCUACAGUUCUGUUAUGGUAAGGACAGUUUUGCAGGUUAAGAGACAACGUUCUAGGUAAGUAGCCAUUCCUUUACUUAUUACCAGGGAUCCUGCUUUUCUCAGAAGAAAAAACAAAUCACAAAAUCUCUGAUUAGCCCCCCAAAUCCACCUUUUUUCAUGAUCAAAAGGAAAUGCCACCAAUAUAUAUAUAUAUAUAUAUAUAUAUAUAUAUAUAUAUAUAUAUAUAUAUAUAUAUAUAUAGGGAUUGGUUGAACACUGUUUUAUUGAUCUGUUUCCAAUGUUAAAGCCACUUGAAUCUUACCAGUGCACAACCCCGUGGCCAUUCCUGUACUCGUCACUCCCCACCCAUGGCCCCCUAGCCUGCCAGUGCCCCUCAGUUGCCAAGCACGGUCCCUUGGGCCCUGGCAGUGCCCCUCAGUUCCCACCCACAGCCACAUGCUGCACCCCCUCCCAGCUGCCAGGGUUACUGGAUCAGGGUCCUGGAUGUGUCAGGCGGCAGCUGCUGUGGCCUGAGGGGGGAGCAGAGCACAGCUCCUGCUUUCAUGGAUGACACAGCCUGAGUAGAGCCUGUGGGGGGUGCGUGCAUGCUAUCUGCUGUGGGCUUGGGCACUUCACUCUGUUGCCCUUCUCCUGGGGUUUCUGGAGCCCAGUGGGCAGGACCCAGCGUGGAAGUAGAGAGCAGGGAUGGGCAGGGAAGAUUGGUGCCGCCCCUGCAAGUCCCACGCUAUCGUGGUGAGGCACCCUGUGCCCACCCAGCAGCAGCAAGGGGAAGAACUCUGUGCUGCCACCCCCAGUGCUCUCUGGCAGGCAGGGGGCAACUUGCUGUGGUAGUGUAGGGGUCACGGUGGUGGCACUGAGCUUCUGCGCCCUAUAUUGCCCUCCUGUGCCAGCUCUCACCCACUGGGCCACAGAGGCUUUGCAGAGAGGUCAGCAGGGUGGGAAGACCAAGCCUGCAAUGGGCAGCCUGCCCCCAGUGUGCAUAAAUUGUGGGCAUGUGCACCCCAUCUGCCCCAGGAGUGUGUGCAGUGGCGGGCAGUCAAGCCCCCCCUGCCCGCUCCUCACCUAGGCCCUGUAGCUGUGCUUGGCAGCACCAGGCCCCAUGCAUGGGCACAGCUGGGCAGCAGCCCCAGCCCUGCCCAAGUCCCUCACUCCCCAUUUAUGGGGGCCUCAAUUCACCUCCUCCUGCCACACCUGACUUACAUGUGGGGACCCACUCUCCAGCCUGUGGGCAGGCAUGUACUUGUGUACAUGAUCACAUGCACAUAGCACCCCUUUGUGACCCCUCCUCCUGUUCCCCUGAGCACCUGGCAGCCUGCAAGGAGAAACCCACCAUUGGUCAUGCUGUUCCCCUUUAGAGGUGAAAAUCUGGAUUUUUCUCAUUUAAAGGAGAAAAUCUGGGGGGCUGGGUGUCAGCAAAUAAAAACCUAGGUUUCCGGACUAGCCCAGGGCUCGACACGACACUCGGUCCGAGGAGUGACGGAAAGGCUUUAUUUACUGCAAGUAUUUAAGAUCAAGUCAGGCGAAUCCAAACCAAAUCAAAGUCCAGUAAUUAGCUGUAAGGUGACGAUUUCUCGCCAAACAGGCGACUAAGAGGCGGUCUGUUUCUCUUCACCUUGUAGAGUAAGUUGGGCGUGUCGGCAAGCCGUGUCAGAGAGAUUUUUCACUCCUGAAGCGUGCGUGUGCUGUGUGCCGUUUUACUUUUUAUCCCCUUACUUUAGCAUCUUCAAAGCAUUCUUUUAGUUGUGUAAAUUAAGACGGAGUCCCAAACAGUAACCGACAGGAAAAACCUGCCGAUUUACCGGGUAUCAGAAAUUUCUAACGCGAGCGAGUUAGCUUCUUCGGUAACGAGAGGUUAUUCAGUUUGGAACGUAUCGAGAAACCAAUUAACCGCUAGGAAAAACAUACUAAAUCGGGAGGAGACAUCUAUUACGUACGGAGAAUGUGUUUCGGCAUAUAAACGCGACUUAGUCGGAAAAGAAAUAUUUAUCUUGCUAAUUAAUUGAGGAUAGACGUUUCAUACGGUUACACACCAGACAACUAAGAGUCUGUGUGAAAUCAUCCUGAAUAUAGCCCGAUAAGAUGGAAGAGACUUCAUAAUUCUUUCUUAGAUGGCCUGGCCAUGAAAUUGCAUUGUCUUGCAUUAUGCAGUUAGCAUUAUUCUUCAGUACUUUAACUUUUGUGAGUAGGGCCAAGCUUUACAUGAUUUUCAGAGUCGUUACUGGGUGGGGGUCCUUAAGGUGACAAACUGGGUUUUACUGCAUUUUUCCCUGGUGAAUGCAACACCCGGGUCCCUGCCAAUUACCCUUUUUGUACGUGAAGUGAAGAUGCUAUGACAUUUGCCAGCGAUGCUCUUAGUGUGUAAAGGAUUACAACCCUCCAAAUUGGAUAAAGCAGCUAGAGACAGGGCUAUAAUAUGCACUUUUAUUGAUCACACCUCGAGGCAUAAGAAUAAACCCUUUGUGCUAUGCCUACCUAGUGACUUGUCACACCACAAUACAGAUUGUCCAGUCUACCGGCUGGGGGAGAUGCAGGAGGGAGGAGGAGGCUAAUAGGAGGUUGUUUCCACUUUGCAAAGGUCUUGUUGUAGUUUCCCUUUGUUUAAACCUAAUUUUUACGCGGGCUUUUUAAAUUGAUAGUCUGACGGGCCUCACGUAGACUCGUUUUGCCGAAACGUUGGGAACGGGACCGAACCCAUUUUCCCGUGCGCUCGGGACCUGCCGAUGGCUGGGGCCCGUGUCCCUGGGAAAACUCCGAGUCUGGAAGGGAGGAACACUGCUCAUCUCUUUCCCUGCCUGCCUAGGAACGCUCCUUGCCUCGUGUUUGUUAGACUCUGCCAUUUAGACCUAUUUUAACUUGUAACAGGGUCACAAAACCAAAUGCCAGUUGCUGCUCGUAGCUGCUGUUUCCCACCGUUCCAGAAAGCAGCUACUCGCUCUUGGUCUCGUCUGGUAUUAAAGUCUUGAGAAACAGAAUCUUAUUCCACUUUUUUUGGCCGUUCCUUGGGAUGUAAGCGUAGGCUCACGGCCUAUUCCUUGUAUGCCAGCUUAAGCACGUGUCAUUCUUAAGUUAGGCUUCUGGUAGGCGUGUAGUCUGCAAUACUGAGCGUGGUCUGUCAGGCCCUGACCAUAUUUUCAGCCUACACCGAGGGGAAUCUGCCCAUAGCCUUCCUUCCCCUUUCCCAUCAUCAUCUUCGUAACAUCCCUGCCUCUUUACUUGUCGCUCAUUUCAGAAGCUGUUGCGUGCCAGUGCUUCUGUUCCCUGGUGCUUUCCCCGGGUACCCACCCUGUCUCCUGUACGUGGUGGAGGACCGGUUUAAGGAGUUGCACGGAGGGCCUCACAGAAGUCCUGUGUGGUCACGGGUUUACAAUGAAGACUUGCAGCUGCGUGUUGCUAUUUCUGGGGUGUGCCGUGCGCGAGCCGCAGCUGUCAGAGGAACGCUUUGGAGAUGUCGCUCACGAAGGGAAGCAAAAUUGUUCUGCUCCCCACUACUGAGCUUUACAGGGUGAUACCUGUGAGACAUCACAUCCCCUGUCCAAACCUGAGCCAUCUGAGCAGGGGAAGUGGCAUGGCAGGGGGGCCAAGAUACCCGGUUGACAGCCCAGAGUGCAAGUUGAAGGCUGCAAUGGAAGCGCUCAGAGUGUGGCCUGUCACAUUCUAACAAAAUCUGUCAGGUCUCACACGUAGCUUAUCACAAGGACCCGAAAAGGAAAAGGACGUGAGCAGGGGCCCAUGUUAGAGUCUUAGUGCAUUGGUCAGCGAUUGGGGGUGAGGGGGUGCAUGUCCCUCCUUCACUGCUUGUGUGUUGACUGUCAUUGUUAAAGGACCAGGGUUGGGGGCGGGGGCAUUCUUGGCUGCUUGGCCAAGUGCCUGGGGGAAAAGCUAGGAGGGAGGGGGAGGUUCAGCAACCCCGGACUGGCCAGGUCUCCCCCUGCCUCCCACAGGGCUGCGCUACCUGCUACUGGCAGUGACUCUGCCUGGAGCAGUUGACAGGCCCUUGUAAGCAGCCUGCAGUGCUUGGGAGAUGUGGGCUGUGACACCUUGGUUUUCUGGACUGUGGUAAGAAAGCAAACAGCCUUGUAGUACAGGCUUCAGUUGUGGGACUGCACCCUGUUCUUGAGACCCCCCCCAGGGGCUUAUUUCUUGUAUGUCCAUGCAGGAUAGUUGGGGGGGCGGGGAACGGAAGGAAGAGGCACGGAUGAGCCCUGCAUCUUUCGUUCAGCAAAUUUCCGUAAGUAAUGUUAGUACUACUAAUAUUAUCCCUGUUCUGAUUCUUACUAUUACUAUUAUUUGUUUUCCCAUGUACUUUGCCAACAAAGCACCUGGCAGGUCCAGUAAGAAAAGGAAGUUUCCAAACAGGUGACAGAAGAAGGAAACCAAAUGAUUUAAGUAUGCAAGUGGUGGUGGCGGUGUUGUUGGGAAGGUUCAGGAACCACGGGGGAGGCAAGAUUUUUUGUGAUGUCUCGUGUGGCAUCAACAGUGUUGUCCCCAAACAACGGUCAGUUCGUGCCCGGUGCGCUUGUGCCAAUAAACACACAGGGUUGAAGGAUCCAAUUUAAUCUUUAUUUCUGCGCAGAAAGUGGUGCUUGGCAAUCGUUCGCAAAGCAAGCACCCACACCUCGGUGGGCGUUGAAAUGUAUAGCAAGCCCAGCAAGUAACCCCCCUUCCAGCUCCGGACUCUGUUGAUACAGCUUUCCUUCUAGCAAGGCCAGCAAUUAAGCAACUAAGCAACAAGCGAUCUCCCCCAGCCUAAACAACCUACUCUAUGCCCUUGGUUAGAUAAAAUACUUUUCAAAACAUACAAAGCUGUUCCCGAAGUAGAAAAUGCAUAGUGAAAGUUCAGGGGUACCCAUCAACAGCAUGGUUUGGACAGACAGAAGCAAGGUUUUAGGCAUCACAGUCCCCUUUUUCAGUCCUGCUUCCUUCCCAGCAUCCUGAGGAAAGGUACUGUCAUAGCCCAAAGGUUGCCUGUAUCUAUGCCCAUCUUACAGUUGGUCUGGUAAAACAGGGGUCAAAAAACCUAUGGCCUGUGGUUUGGAUCCAGCCUGUGAAGAAACUGGUUCUAGCCUGUAGCAGUUCAACCAAGGAGCAGCACACUCCAAUGUGACAGCAGCAGGGACAUCCCCAGCGGCCUGUUGCCACUGCGUUCAGUUUGUUCUUUGUGCUGCAGCAGAAGCAGCCUCCCCAGGGUCCCGGCCCCUGCCUCUUUCUUUUGAGUCCCUUCACAGCCUGUGGAGAUUGCUGGGGAGCAACCUGUCACGUCGGCAACGGUGCACAACGGCAAAAGAACGGCCCUUCCCUGCAAGGAAAGAUUGCACCUAACUCCAAGAGAGCAGAGCAGAGCAUGGACACAGAGCGAGAUGCUCAUCAGUAGGGUAGUCUGGCCUUGCUGUUGCUAGGAGUGCCCAAGUAGGGAGGUGUUGGAAUAAUUUCUCAGCUUUUUCCCUAGAUCCACACUUGGGUUCGUGCGUACUCCCCAUCGUUUUCAGAAGCGGACGGCAGGAGAAAGUUUGUGGUCAGUGAUAGCAGCAGAAGGCCACGCAACCAGGCUGGGGAACGUGGGGCUCUUUCCUAAACCAGGAGUGGCAGGACUUGCACAGCUUUGCCAGGAUCCUGGCUGUUGUGGAGAGACUUUGGGUUGGAGAUGGAUGCAAAGAAGUGGAGGCGUGCCAUGGUGAUGGAGGAUAGAGCAGGAGGAGUAGCGUGAUGGAAGGUGGACUUACCUCAAGCGGGGGUGGUGUUUUGAGUGGGGGGUGUCUGGGUGGGCUGGGAAGUCCCUGCUCUGGGUUGGUGUCCUGAGCUGCACGCUCCCAGGGCAGGGCUACUCAAGCGGAGGGCCAUGGCACCCAGGAGUGCCUCUGAGAUGAGUGGUGUAUGGCUGGGCUGGCUUGGCGCAGAGUUGCUCUGAGUCUGUGCAAAGAUCUCCAGGUUAUGGUGGGACAGAGGAUUGGGUCUCUGCCUGGCUGUACCUGUUGCCACAUGCCUCCUUUCAGUGCUGGGAAUUGCAUUUAUGUCUCAUCUCUCUGGGUGUGUCACUGGUGUCUGCCUUUGUACUUCUGUUCUUAAAAAUCACUGCAGCACUUGUUACUUUGUUCUUCCCAGGACUGAAAGGAGGGUUGUGUUUGCAUUUAAAUUGAUCCCCUCACUUGGGAGGGGUGUAGCUGCAGCCCCCUGCGGUUUGUUAGUGGGGCCAGUCCAAGCUGCUGUUGUACCCCUGGUUGGGAGGGAGGGGGUGCUGUCCCGUUGGUGCUGUGAGACCUGCGCAUAGCGCUGCAAGUGUUAAUUGCUGUUCAUUUUUGGUGGUGUGGACAUGUUUGGCAAGAUGAUCAAAGUCUGGUCCUGAGUGGAGAAGAGCUGAGGAAGAGGUGAAGAGCCCUGGAGCUGGUAUGGCGUGGAAGGAGUUGGAGAUGGCCCGAAGCCAUGCUCAUGUGAUCACCUGGAGCGAGGUAUUUGCUUCUUGCGGGUUGCAGCUCUGGACGGACAGAUCCUGCAGCUGCAGGUGCCUGCAUCGUAUCUGGGAAAGGGAUGGCAAGCAUGAGGACUGACGGCGCACAAGGGCUGAAAGUGCAGCUUGAUGCCAGGUGUGGGUCCUGGUGUUCCUGGAAGGAAAGGGUGAGGGCACAGGGACCGGAGCAGAGCAGCGGUAACGGAACCAGAGGAUCAGGAUGCUAGAAGGUGUUUCGUGUUUGGGAUGAGGAGCCACCUUGCCAAGGCUUUAGGCACUGAAGACGAGGUGAAGAGCCACAGAGAUGAUGGAGGAGGAAAUGGGCAGCUGUCUCGUGACUUCCCAGUUUGUGUGGUGUGAGGCCUCUGCCCCUGUGACGUCACCUGUGUGGAGCCUGCGGUCAUGCUGUGUGUACGGUGGUUACUGUGAUACAUCAUGUUUUGAGUGUCUGUGACUAUCCAGCUCCGGGAGGCCGCAGACAAGCCUUUGAGAGCUCGGGUAAAGCCUGUAUGUAUCUUGUGGGGGAAGAGGGACGCAGGGAGUUCUGUGCCAUGCUGGUGGAAGAGGAAGGAAAACAAUGCUUAAAGGAGCCAUCUUCUGAAGGCUUGAGGGCUGUGAAGCAGACACUGUGAAGAUGAAGUGAAGAGUCCCAGAGAUGGUGCACAAGGAAAUGGGCAGCCUUGUCGUGACUUCCUGACUUGCGUGAUGUGAGGCCUCUUCUCCUGUGGCAUGACCUGGCUGGACUCCUGGGGAGGUUUUGUGUGUGUAGCUUCGCAGGCGGUGCAUCUCUGCUCCCACUUCCUGCUGUGAGGACACCUGGAUAAGGAGCAGCAUGAUUGUGGCUGGCUGUGCGGCCUCAAUGUUGUGGGGGAGAGGAAUAGAAGUGAGUUUUCUACGGUGGUGGUAGAAGAUGGAGGAACUGGAUCCCGAAAGAUGACGGCAUUGGAUGUGCUGGGACAGAGGAGCGGGUGCGUGCGUGUCUGCCUCUGCCUGGCUGUUGCUGCUGCCACUGGUCUCCCUUCAGUUCUGGGAAGUGCACUCUGUCCUAUAUCUCUGGGUGUGUCACUGGUGUUUCUUUCUACUUUGAUAUCUAAAAUCACAGCAGCACUUCUUUCUUUGCUCUUCCCAGAGUUGGAAGGAUAGGUGUGUUUGCAUGUAAAUUGAUCCCCUCCUUUGGGUGGGCUUUGACUGCACCCUGUGUGCCUCAUGUGCGGGUGGGGGUGUUAUGCUUUUGGUGUCCUAGAUUGUGGGGGGCAUUGUGUCUGUGCUGUCAGUACUAUGAGAUGUGAAUACUGUUGUGUGUAGUAAUUGCUUGUUGUUUUGGGUGUGAUGUCAAUGUGUGGAGUGUGAGCAGAGAAGAGCUGAGGGGAAGAGGUGAAGAGACCUAGAGCCAGCGCUACGUAGAAGCAGGUGGUCAUGCAGCCACGCUCACUUCUGGGUCACCUGGAGGGAGGCCUCUGCCCGUUCGGUGGAGCUGUGUGCAUGGGCAGAGCCUGCAGUGGGAGGUCCCUGCGUCCCCUGUGUGGAGAGGACGGCAAGGAGGGAUGAGAGUGCACUGGAGGAGGAGUGCGAUGCCAGGUCCCAUGAGUGCGGUCUCUUGGGGUGAGGCCCUUCUCACAGAUGGAUGGGUGCACCCUGGCCAGGCACGUCUUGGAGAGCUGUGAGCUGGGGCCUGGGGUCCUGACCUGUGCAGAGGGAAAUGACUGCCGGUUGAAGGAGUGAAGCUGAGCAGCGCCCAUGGAGGAUGAAGCAGGAGGAACUCGAUGCUGCACGGUUUCUGUUUUUCUCCAGCCCAGCCUUGGGUGUUGGGCAUUGACUAGGUAGGGUAGAUGACUGGAGAUGGAUCAAGAUGUUUCUGACUGUGGGUCCUGGUCCUUGCAGAGAAGGGUGGAAGAUGGAGGAAGAGAGGAUGGUGCAAGCGGGGGGUCUUUUUACGAAGACUUUUGGGGCAGGGAGGAGAAGUGCACAUUGGGCAGAAGAAGAGAAGACACCUUGAAGUCAUGAACUGUGGAGCUGCCUGUCGUUGGUGCCUGCGCUGUAGCUCUGUCGUGAGGAGCGGGGCACGGGCAGUGACACGCUGAGGGCUGGAGAAGGAGCACCACAAAGAUGGCUGUGAGGCCUUGGUCAGGCGUGAAGUAUGUGAGCCAGGAGAGUGGUACAGCACACACGCAGGAUGGAGGGCAACAAUUCGAGCGGGAGGCUUUUUUGGCCAGGGCUGCUGUGAAAUGUGGUGUAGGGCUGGGCCGGCCGGUCCGAGUCUGUCGCACUCCACGUAUAGGAGAAACGACGGAUGUCUAAGGAGCUUGUGGGGCGUUUGAUCCGGGCUCAUCCCUGGCACUUGGGGUGCAGGCCUGGCCCCUCUCUGGGGUGUGUUGAGGGUGAGCUCUGGGUUUGCAUUCGUGCCCCUGACUUGCUGUUGCUACGGGCGUCCCUUCAGUCUUGGGAACAGUGCUGUGUCCUGUGUGCCUGGGGGUUUCACUGGUGUCUCUCUACCUCUUUGCAAAAUGUCUGCAGCACUUGUUCUUUUUCUGCUCUUGUCAGGACUGGAGGGAAGGCUGUGGUGGGUUUUUUCCUGCCACCUAAAAUGGUUUCCACCUUGGGGAGGGGUCUGACUGCACCCUGUGUGCCCUGUUUAGCCUGAGUGGGGGUAUCGCCUUUGGAUUCUCGGGGGUUGCUUUUGCCCUCAGGGCUGUGAGUCCCGUGUGCCGCGUGACUUUUCCUAAUUUAUUUUUGUUUUGGUGACAUGUACGGGAGUAAUCUGGCUGAGGCUCGAGGCUCCUAAGUGGGCAUCGGGAAGAAGAGGUGGAGACCCCAGCGCCUGUGACCUGAGGAAGCUGGUGAAAGAAAUGGAUGUCGGCGCAUUUGCUUUGCGGUUGCCCGGCGUGAGACUUCUGCCCGUGUGGUGGCCCUGGGCUGGAAGCCUUGCUGCGUGGAGCCUGCGAUAGAUGUUGGACUGCUGCUCCCCGUGUGGUGAAGAGGAUGGGCUGCAAUGACUGGAGGCCUGGAAAAGGAGCCGUGUGGCCACGGUCCUGGCCUGCAUGGAGGCAAGUAGGUGAGAGGACUGCAUCGUGGGAGAGCUGUGGGCCGGGGUUGGAUGACAGACACGGACCGGCAGGAUGUUGCCCGCUAUGUGGAAUGUCCCUUCUGUAUUGGGAUUCUGCGUGGGGGUGUGGGGUGGGAUUGGGAGUGUCCUCAGCUUUAUGAUCCUGGAGCCAGGGGUUGUGGAAGUAGUAUGUUUGGGUCAGUUUGUCUGUGCUGUGGGUGGACCUAGGGUGACCAGAGGUGAAAUCCAUUCCUGUGACCCUGCAGUUGGACCAGCACCCAGACACUCGCAGGAACUGCUGGCCAAGCAGGCCCAGACCUUCCAACUGUUGAGCACGGCAAUGCUGGAGCCAGCUAGCAUGGAAGCAGGAGGGCUGGCCGGGUGCGGGGCCCGGGCUGCCUCUGUGGCUUCUGUGCUAGUGAGGUUGAGAAUUGCAGUGCUGGGGGGUUGGAGGUUUUGGACCUGCUUGUGCAGGGUUCUUGUUGGUGUUGGGGUGCUGGUUCUGCCGGGUCAGAGCAAUGGGUUUUAUUCUGCCUGGCUGCCAUGUUUACAGUGUCCUGCAGGGCUGGGAGCCUGUCGUAGCAGUGUGUGUUUGGCUGGGGCGGGGCGGUUGUCCGGUUUGGUCCCUGAGCAGUGGGGUGAGCAUGUUUGUUAUUACCCUGAAAUAAAAUAGUUUUCUGAUAGCAUACUGUUAGGUUAACAAUAAUAUAGAUUAUUAAGAAGUAUUAGCUUUGCAGCUGAAUACAAGGUAUGACCUGUGGCCUAGCAAUGCCGCUGACCACAAGGCAGAAUGAUAGCUAAGCCUUUGCUUAUGUUAAGUAAUCAUUUUAACUGUGUUGACCAUUUUCUGAGUAAAAUGCAGCAAGUGAAUCUGUGUCUGUGUGCUGUAAACCAGAUGCAGCAAGGAACAAGAUAAGAGGAAGAAGCCAUUGUUCUAAGUACAGUGAUCGUGUCCUUAAGAAGUAUCUAGUACUGUGCAAGUUUUUGCUAACAUAUCAUCAUGUUACUGUUAUUUAUGUUAGAAAAUAUUGUUGGAAAAUCAAUGUGACCUUUGUAUGACCUUUGGUCAAUGCUGGCUGAUGCAACCUUGCAGUAAGAUUGGCAUGGUCUGUCAAUAUAGGCGGGCAAACAAGGUGAUUGGGCCCAACCGUGCGGGGUGAGCAAAGCCAAGCCAUCUUGGUGAUUUCCUCUGAGUUUUGCGCAUGCGUUAUGAAGGAGCUUAUGAAACCAGAGUUUAUACAUCUAUGUGUUGAGUUGCAGUCGGGGGUCUCUCUGCCCUUACGAGGACGGGGGACCUUUGGCCGAAUAAACUGAAAAGACCACACCCUCGUCUCCUGCUUAUUGGAGUCUCAGCUGGGAAACGAGCCCUGUUUGGGUUAAGAGAGUCUGCAGGUGUUCCCUUACCAGAUUGGGAGCCUGGUCAGACAAUUUCUCUCACAAUUUGGCGAGCCAGCCAGGAGCACCCAGCUCGUCGCGUUGCCGCUGCCGCCUAAACCCAACCUCCGGCCGGCCGUAACAGAGGUGAGUUCACCAUGGGAGUCUUGGGUUGAGGCUGCAGACAUGGCGGGACGAUAAAGUGACUCCUUCAAUUUUACUGGCAUGGUGUGGUCUUUUAUAUGUUGUGUAUGUCUUGUCUAAUGUGUUAUAGGUCAGUCUGUUCUCCGGUUCCUCAAACCUGGGCACACAGGCAAUUUUAGUUAGUUGCCCGUUUGACUCCUUUGAGCCGAUAAAUCUGUGUGGCGCAUUUUAUGUCUCCGUUCGCGCACUGAGGAACCGUCUCUGUUUCUGACCUUUUAACUGGAUAAGUCCUGCAACCUGUUUGAGGCAUCCUAGAGCCUGCCUUUCCAGAUUGGUUAGGUCUAGGGCAGCCAAGAAAGCAGGGUUUUUGGGGAGCUUUAUAGUAUAUCAGGUCAUCCGGGAAAGGGACAUCUGCCAAGAGUGACGAUGGGACAGAAACAGUCAAUUCCCGCUAGUAGUCCUCUUGGAGAAUUGUUAAGCAACUGGAAUAAGUUAUCUGGACAUGGCCAAUUGAGUAAGAAGCGUGCUAUAGCCUUAUGCACUAGUGUCUGGCCUGGCUAGACUUAUGAAAACCCUGAACUUCAGUGGCCAGUGUUGGGAUCCCUUAGCGUAGAUAAAUGAAGGUACCUCAGGGGGUUCCUAGAGGAACCCGAUCCCCGACAAAUGGAUUAUUGGUAUCUCUGGUGUGAUUUGAUGGAUUUAAUUCUUGAGAGAAAAAAAACAACCUGAUUACUUCUGGCAGCUCAACAAUGUCUGCGGUGUCUCCUCCCUCUUAUUCUCCCACUAUGCCACCACCGGUGACUAGGGGACCGGCCGUAAUAAACCUGGCCGCUUCGGCCAUGGCCCUUCCGGCACCUUUUACCCCUCCAUGAGGCUCCUCUCCUCCCGUAACAGGAGUGUCAGGGUCUGUACGUGCAUCCUCGGAGCCUACUUUCAGUCCCAUAGCAGGACAUACUAGGUAGCCUUUGAAUCAGGUCAUACACCUGCUCUUGUACACGUGUAAUCACAUGUGCACACCCCCCAUCACACAUGCAGUCACGCCUGCUCAGAGUCCCUUAGAGACAUGCGCCGGCACAGAACCCCAAAACACAGUGCAACAUACACAUGUGCCCCAACAGGUGUCCGUGACACACUUGCACACAAAUGUGCAGCCUCGCACGCACGCAUGUUCAGUCUCGCACACGCACCCAGAGCCCAGGUGCCUGUGACACAUGCGCAUGCUCACACACACACAGAACCCAGGUGUCUGACACAUGCAUGUGUGCUCUCGCGCACACAGUCUAGCACACAUGUACAGAAUCCAAGUGUCUGUGGCACACAAGCAAGUACCCUGACAUUCACAUUCAGACACACACACAAGCCCACAUGGGUAGAUAUGAAUCAACCUGCCCCCAAUGAUGUGUGCAAUUAUUGUAAACAAUUGGGGCAUUGGAGACGAGAACGCCCAAACCGCCGUAAGGGACUUGGCCCUAAUGGAGGAAGAAAGGGGGGAAGCCAGGGAAACAACCGGGCUGCCAGCACUGAUCCUACAGAUCCCUGGGUCCAGGGUUUGCAACAAGAUAUAGAUGACUCCCAGUGAAAUAAGGGGGCGGCUCUUCCACAUGAUGUAUCUAGGGGAAUCUUCCUCUUUUGAGUAUACCUGUGCCCCUUCAUCCCCUUAUGUACCACUUCAAAUAGCAGGAAAAUUUAUAAAUGUCUUAUAGAUAGAGGAGCAGAUCUGUCCUCACUGGGAGAAUCUCCAGAAAGGGUGGGAAUUGCAGUCUCAGGAUCUGAAAAGAUUAUGAGAGUAAUUGGAAAAUAUAUGCAAGUGCCCCGUGGCACUGAAACACAAGUGCAGAUAGGACCCUUGACCACUAUUCAUGCUUUCCUAUUAGCUGAAGGAACUCCAAUGUACCUCCUUGGAAGAAAUCUACUCUAUAAACUACAGACCAGAAACCCUUCACCCUAUUUACUCAUGAGAAUCAAGGCAUUGCUUCAGGUGUCUUAACUCAGCCAUGGGGAGUUUCUAAUUGUCCCAUAGCAUACUAUUCUGCUCAGUUAGAUCCUGUAGCAAGGGCAGCAGUCCUUGUCUUAGAGGAGUUGCUGCUGCCGCCGUGCUAGUUCAAAAGGCUCAAGAUUUAGUGUUAGGACACUCUCUUGUGGUUCAAGUAUCUCAUUCAGUGGAAGCUCUCCUACUACAGCAGAACCUCUGCCAGCAGGGACCAACGCCCAGGCUGCUGAGCUAGCAGCACUCCGAUGAGCAUGCAAAUUGGCCACAGCCUCCAGGGUCACUAUCUAUACUGACUCUAAAUAUGCUUUUGGUAUCUGUCAUGUGCUAGGAGAGUUCUGGCGACAAAGAGGUUUUAUCAUGUCCUCUGAUCCUGUAAUCAGCAAUGCCACCGAAGUGCAAGAACUGCUAGAGGCUGUCGUGUUACCAGCUGAAAUAGCGGUAAUGCAUUGUGCCAGACAUUCCAGAGAAGAUACUGACAUUGCUAAAGGAAAGCAUCUUGCAGAUGCUGCAGCUAGAGCCGCUGCACUACAAACUAAAGGAAGUCUCCUUGUAUCUCAAGUUGUUCUUCCACCCUUGUCUGUGAUUUAUGACAAAGUCCCAGCGGAUGAAGUAUCUAUAUGGGUCUAAAAGUGGGAGGCUGCGCAAGGAAAGGAUGCAGUGUGACGUGUGCCAGACGGUAGACCAAUUGCUCCUCGCACCUUGCUCCGAACUCUGGCUCAGGAUGCCCACAGAUGCAGCCAGUCGGGAAAAGGAGAAAUAGCAGAACAGGUCCUCUCCACCUGGUUUGCUCCAGGUAUACAUCUAGAAGCUGCCCGAAUAACUCUGCAAUGUUCAGAGUGCAGAGCCUUCAACAAAUACAGAGGACACACAAAAUUACAAGGGGCCUGACCGUGGGCCUAUUUACCCUUUGAAAAACGACAUGGAUUUGCUCAAAGCUGGAAAUUUCAAGGACUGCCUAGUAGUGGUAGAUCAAGUAACAGGAUGGCCAGAAGCUUUCCCCACUCGAGAAGCGGAUUCAGUAGCAGUAGCCAAACCCGUAUUAAAAGAAAUCAUCCCACAUUUUGGCAUUCCAGGAGGAAUAAACUCUGACCGAGGAACUCACUUUACAGAAACUGUUUUAAAAGAAGUUUACAGAGUUUUUGGAAUAAUAACAUACUUCCACGCACCCUAUCGCCCUCAGUCCUCGGGUCAGGUAGAGAGUAUGAAUCGGAGUAUAAAAUCCCUUUUAGGAAAGAUCUGCUCCUAAACCAAAUUGAAAUGGUCAGAUGCUUUACCAAGGGUGCUGUUCGCUAUAAGAACAAAACUCAAAUGGCCUCUCAACCUUGUACCCCUAUGAGCUGUUGUUUGGUCAUGCUCCUGUUAUAUAAGAGAUGGGAAAAUCUGCAUGUUAGCUUACUCGGUGGAGAUGAAGCUUUAAUUAGUUAUGUUUUAUCCUUACAGGAGUCUCUCUAGUGUUUAUACAGGUCAGCUGCUUUGGUUCAGCCGGUACCCCUGGACUGUAACCUUCACCCCUAUCAAUCAGGACGCUGAGUUUGGGUAAAACAACAUCGGCGAAAAACCGCCUUGGCCCAAGUGUGGGCAGGUCCGUACCAAGUUCUUCUUACUAUACACGCUGCUGUGAAAAUCGCCGAGAAAGAGGGCCGGAUUCAUCGCGGUCGCCUCAAACCUGGUAUCGGCAAGUAAUGACCGGUCAGCUGCUGUUCCGCCUUUGUAGCUAGAAAGAAUCGGAGAAUCGUGGACCGUUCAGACUCCUUAAUAGAAAUGAUACGUGUAUUAAGCUUGCUUUGUAUUAUCUUUCUUGUUAUCCUUUGUGUUUGUAUUUCACUGUGGACGCAGGGAAGGUUAUAAGUUAAUAAUGGCAUUUCACCCGGGCUAUCCUAACAGGAUUAUUGCUCUUGAUGCAUAAAACACCACGGCUAUUUAUGGGAAAGCGAUACAGAACAGGAAGACCAGUGGAAAGAUAAUACUUACCUGAUUUCCACUAUAGCUAUAGCACAGGCCCUAAAAUUUGUCUAAUGGUUGGAUAUGUGGUACACAGCCUCCUUCUACUAACUUUCCACCCUAUCCUUUAAUCUCUUGGGAAGGGAUUUUUUCUAAUCCAGAGUGGGUUGAUACGGAUAGAGCUGGAAUAAGUACCUGGCAGGACAACCCUUAUUUUAGAGAGUACUUUCAGACAUCAUGUUAUCUGCCCAGGUGUGUUGGGAAAAUCCUCGUGGAAUAGGAAAAGAGAUUUUUAGGAUGGCAACCAGGUUGUAAACUAACCAUUAAUGCCACACACUUAAUCUGGCCUAACAAUACUGCAGUGGGGGCUAAAGAAGCUGAAAAGAAAGGUUACAUCCCCUGGAAUGUGUCUGCUCUCUGCAGUUCCUUGCAGCGUCCUUAUGUAUGGCAAUGUAUGGAAGGUUCCAUCCGAUGCUCCACCCCUAAUAAAACGGGCUUGGAGUCACGGCUGUUUCACGUCUUGCAUAUACAGCUCCUUUGCAAAGCCAAGUUGAUCGUAUGUUAACUAUACCAUUUACAGAGACGGUUCAGUACCUUGCCCCAGAGAUCCUCAUACUACCGCAUCAAUCAACUAGCACGUGCAUUAGAACUUAUUGCCAAUAGCACAGCAGAGGGCAUUGAAUUAGUGCAAGACCAGGCUUCUUGCAACCAUGCUAUGACUUUAGAAAAUCAGUUAGCUUUAGACUAUUUGUUAGCUAGAGAAGGAGGGGUAUGUGCUUUAAUCACAGGAGGACCCUGCUGCACCUAUAUUCCUGACCACUCUGACAACAUAACUGCUGCAGUAGAAACAAUUCGAGACACAGCACGACAGGUAAACUCUUUGCGAAGUUGGUCAGUAAUAGAAGGGAUUGCCUCAACUUUAGGAAUGUGGAGAAGGUAUAUCUUAGAAUACAUUUUAUGGGGAUUAGGAAUUUUCUUGGUUAUUAUCCUAAUAAUUGCUGUAAUUAGAGCCUGUGUAGUUUGAGUUAAGCAAAAAGUAAUUAAUCUCAAUAUUAUGCAAACCUGGGAAAUGGCCAGCAGGCCAUAGGCCUGUGGCUGUAAGGGGGGAAAUAAACGGCAGUAAAUCUUUACCUGCGUUGCUUGGUUUCUAUUGCAGCUAGACAACAAACUCCUGGGAGUUUUCUCCCACCACAGCAGGAAGGAGGAUGUUGAAGGUUUCUGAGCCAUAAGCUCGAGCUCUCUCUUUGGAAGGGGUUAGAAAAUAUUGUUAGAAAAUUAAUGUGACCUCUGUAUGACCUUGGAUCAAUGCUGGCUGAUGCAACCUUGCACUAAGAUUGCUGCUGAUAUGUCAAUCUUGGCGGACAAGCAAGGUGAUUGGGCCCAACCAUGCAGGGUGAGCAAAGUCAUGCCAUUUUAGCAAUUUUCUGCUGGGUUUUGCGCAUGUGUUAUGGGAAAGGCUUAUGUAACCAAAGUUCAUAAAUAUGCGUUGAGUUGCAGUUGGGGUCUCUCUGCCCUUACGAGGACAGGGGACCUUCAGCCAAAUAAACUGAAAAGACCACACCCUCGUCUCCUGCUUAUUGGAGUCUCAGCUGGGAUAUGAGCCCCGUUAGGGUUAAGAGAGUCUGCAGGUGUUCCCUUACGAGAUUGGGAGCCUGGCCAGACAAUUUCUCUCAUGGGGAAAGCAGAGCCGUCUGUUACUCAGCUUUGUUUUGUUGUUGCCCCUAGUGGAGGUAUUGCAAAAAUGUAUCAUCUGACUACACAAAAGGCUUCUCAGCUGAAAACUGUAAACUGCAAAUUGUUUCUUCUUCUCUCUCCCCAAUCACUGCGGGGCCAGGAGGGGGGGGGGGGGGUCGUGUUAGAGGGAGAGAACAGUCUGAACAAUGCUUGCUUCACGAUAAGGCUGACUCCUGUGGGAACACAGAUUAGUUACUGCCUGCUUUGCACAUAAACUUUGCAGAAAACUGUAGCAAAUGACAGAUUGGCACAAUGGAAUCUUGUUCAGGAGAGGUAUAAAAAUGUAUCGUCGGGCAUGGCUAGGGGUCAACAUGACUGAGCUUUGAGCUCCGUUGUCGAUCUGUUUGCAAGCAAACAUACUUGUAAUGGAUCCAGGCUAAGUGUGUAUAACUCUCUCUUGAGGUAUAUGGAAAAAGCCUCCAGAAACACGAAACUAGCCGUUUGUGCAACAGAGGCACAACUGGGAAGCACCCCCCUCCCCGUCAGCUUAACCACCCUCUCGUGCGUCCAAGGCCCCUGCCUUGCAGUGCCUCUUGGGCCUGUGUGGUGUUGCUGGUCGUUGUGUUUUUUUUUGGGGGGGGGGGGAGUGUGAGGAGGGUGCAGCCAAGGUGAUGGCUCCUGUGGAGAAGGGGUUAGAAGCAGAAGUAGUUAUGAAGAGCCUGGGUGCUGGGCUGAUGUGGGAGAAAACUCCCUGGUGUUCGUUGUGUAGCUGGCUUAGAGACCAGACAACAGGGGUGAAGGGGUAACUGCAGUUUAUCUACUCGAGUACAGACCAUAAAACAGCAAAGAGGUAAAAUGGCCUUGACUUAAGGGUGAGGCUGUCUUAUAUACAUUUUCUAAGAAAGGAACUACAAGGUUAUUGAAUAUGCAAUACUUAUGGUAAUCAUCUCCUUACAUGGUGCAUUACAAAUCUCAGUACUUUUGCAGAGGAAAAAAGUUAGUGUUAUCUUACACAUUGCAAUCUGUUAUCCUGUACUCCGCUGUACCAUCUUCUUCCCUCAGGGCCCGCCCCCCCCCCGCCUUAUCUUAUCUGACUUCUAGCUGCAGCUGGUACCCAGUACACAGACUUAAUUUCUGCUUUUUUCUAACAAAAUGGUUAGGGCACUUGACAUAAGAAAAUAGUUGGCUUAGAGAUCAUUCUGUCUUGUGGUCAGGAAAACUGCUAGGCCACAGGUCAUGCCUAGUGUUUAGCUACGAAGCUAAUACUAUGUAAUAAUCUAAAUUACCCUGAAAUUAAAUAGUUUUCUAUAGUAUACUGUUCACAAGAAAGACAAACUUGCCCAUCACUCUGACUGUGAGGUGGAAGAGGUGCCAGGAGGAUGUGUGGGGUCUGAGUUGUGCCUUGGUGUGUGCUUAGUUGGGUGAGAGGGGUGCGAAGCUGCCUGGGUGUGGUGGGAUCGUGCUCUGCUCCCUUGCUUGUUUGCUUUGUUUGGUGAUGUUUGUGUGUGUCCUUGUGUUGUUUGUUGUGAGGCUGGCAAUGUUUUUUUCCUGGUGGUUUGUUUUGUACAUGGCUGUUUGCUCACCUCCUGUCUACUGAGCUUUUUGUAUGUAACAUGUAGAGGAACUUGUGGGCCAGCCUGGAAAAAUAAAAUAAAGGAGAAAUGGUUUUGGCA